CGAAAGCCUGACGGAGCAACGCCGCGUGAGGGAUGAAGGCCUCUGGGCUGUAAACCUCUUUUAUCAAGGAAGAAGAUCUGACGGUACUUGAUGAAUAAGCCACGGCUAAUUCCGUGCCAGCAGCCGCGGUAAUACGGGAGUGGCAAGCGUUAUCCGGAAUUAUUGGGCGUAAAGCGUCCGCAGGCGGCUUUUCAAGUCUGCUGUUAAAGCGUGGAGCUUAACUCCAUCAUGGCAGUGGAAACUGAAAGGCUUGAGUAUGGUAGGGGCAGAGGGAAUUCCCGGUGUAGCGGUGAAAUGCGUAGAUAUCGGGAAGAACACCAGUGGCGAAGGCGCUCUGCUGGGCCAUUACUGACGCUCAUGGACGAAAGCCAGGGGAGCG
rnacentral:rRNA from 1 species